rnacentral:rRNA from 1 species
AUUGAACGCUGGCGGCAUGGCUAAAACAUGCAAGUCGAACCCGAAAGGGAGCAAUCCCAAGUAGAGUGGCGAAAGGGUGAGUAAUACGUUUCUACGUGCCUUGAGGUCGAGGAUAGCCAAGGGAAACUUUGGGUAAUACUCGAUGUGGUCGCAAGAUCAAAGAUUUAUCGCCUUAAGAGCGGGGAACGUCCUAUCAGGUAGUUGGUGAGGUAAUGGCUCACCAAGCCGAAGACGGGUAGCAGGNGUGAGAGCACGGCCUGCCACAUCGGGACUGAGACACUGCCCGGACUUCUACGGAAGGCUGCAGUAACAAAUCUUCCGCAAUGCGCGAAAGCGUGACGGAGCAAUGCCGCGUGCAGGAUGAAGCCCCUCGGGUGUAAACUGCUGUCAGGGAUUAGGAACCAAAUGACCAUUCCCAAAGGAAGAGACGACUAACUCUGUGCCAGCAGCCGCAGUAAC